AUUGAACGCUGGCGGCAUGCUUUACACAUGCAAGUCGAACGGCAGCGCGGGGGCAACCCUGGCGGCGAGUGGCGAACGGGUGAGUAAUGUAUCGGAACGUAUCCUGUAAUGGGGGAUAACCAGUCGAAAGAUUGGGUAAUACCGCAUACGCACGAGAGUGGAAAGUAGGGGAUCGCAGGACCUUACGUUAUAGGAGCGGCCGAUAUCUGAUUAGCUAGUUGGUGGGGUAAAGGCCUACCAAGGCGACGAUCAGUAGCUGGUCUGAGAGGACGACCAGCCACACUGGGACUGAGACACGGCCCAGACUCCUACGGGAGGCAGCAGUGGGGAAUUUUGGACAAUGGGCGAAAGCCUGAUCCAGCCAUGCCGCGUGCAGGAAGAAGGCCUUCGGGUUGUAAACUGCUUUAGUCUAGGAAAAAGGGGUGCGAGGUUAAUACCCUCGUGCUUUGAUGGUACUGGAAGAAUAAGCACCGGCUAACUACGUG
rnacentral:rRNA from 1 species